rnacentral:rRNA from 1 species
CGGACGGGUGAGUAACGCGUGAGAAUCUAGCUUCAGGUCGGGGACAACCACUGGAAACGGUGGCUAAUACCGGAUGUGCCGAAAGGUGAAAGGCUUGCUGCCUGAAGAUGAGCUCGCGUCUGAUUAGCUAGUAGGUGUGGUAAGAGCGCACCUAGGCGACGAUCAGUAGCUGGUCUGAGAGGAUGAUCAGCCACACUGGGACUGAGACACGGCCCAGACUCCUACGGGAGGCAGCAGUGGGGAAUUUUCCGCAAUGGGCGAAAGCCUGACGGAGCAAUACCGCGUGAGGGAGGAAGGCUCUUGGGUUGUAAACCUCUUUUCUCAGGGAAGAAAAAAAUGACGUACCUGAGGAAUAAGCAUCGGCUAACUCCGUGCCAGCAGCCGCGGUAAUACGGAGGAUGCAAGCGUUAUCCGGAAUGAUUGGGCGUAAAGCGUCCGCAGGUGGCUAUGUAAGUCUGCUGUUAAAGAGUGAGGCUCAACCUCAUAAGAGCAGUGGAAACUACAUAGCUUGAGGGCGUUCGGGGCAGAGGGAAUUCCUGGUGUAGCGGUGAAUUUCUUAGAUCAGGAAGAACCCCGGUGGCGAAAGCGCUCUGUAGCCGCAACUACAGUGAGGACGAAA